ACUUUUAAAGGACACCAGUCGUCCGUUGGUCUUAGGAACCAAAACUCUUGAUGCAACUCCAAGUGAAAGUA
rnacentral:tRNA from 1 species